rnacentral:rRNA from 1 species
UGCAGUCGAACGAGAUCUUCGGAUCUAGUGGCAGACGGGUGAGUAACGCGUGGGAACCUGCCCAGUAGUAGAGAAUAACUUGGGGAAACUUAAGCUAAUACUUUAUACGUCCUUCGGGAGAAAGCUUUAUGCGCUAUUGGAUGGGCCCGCGUUAGAUUAGUUUGUUGGUGAGGUAAUGGCUCACCAAGGCGACGAUCUAUAGCUGGUCUGAGAGGAUGAUCAGCCACACUGGGACUGAGACACGGCCCAGACUCCUACGGGAGGCAGCAGUGGGGAAUAUUGGACAAUGGGGGCAACCCUGAUCCAGCGAUGCCGCGUGAGUGAUGAAGGCCCUAGGGUUGUAAAACUCUUUCGUCAGGGAAGAUAAUGACGGUACCUGAAGAAGAAGAUCCGGCUAACUCCGUGCCAGCAGCCGCGGUAAUACGGAGGGGUCUAGCGUUAUUCGGAAUUACUGGGCGUAAAGCGAGCGUAGGCGGAUUUGUAAGUUGGAGGUGAAAUCCCAGAGCUUAACUCUGGAACUGCCUUCAAAACUACAUUUCUUGAGUUUGGUAGAGGAGAGUGGAAUUCCUAGUGUAGAGGUGAAAUUCGUAGAUAUUAGGAGGAACACCAGUGGCGAAGGCGACUCUCUGGGCCAAUACUGACGCUGAGGUUCGAAAGCAUGGGUAGCGAACAGGAUUAGAUACCCUGGUAGUCCAUGCAGUAAACGAUGAGUGCUAGAUGUUGGGAAUUUAAAUUUCCAGUAUCGCAGUUAACGCGUUAAGCACUCCGCCUGGGAAGUANNNCCGCNAGGCUAAAACUCAAAUGAAUUGANGGGGACCCGCACAAGCGG